rnacentral:rRNA from 1 species
UACGUAGGGUCCAAGCGUUAAUCGGAAUUACUGGGCGUAAAGCGUGCGCAGGCGGUUCCAUAAGACAGAUGUGAAAGCCCCGGGCUUAACCUGGGGAUGGCAUUUGUGACUGUGGGGCUAGAGUGUGGCAGAGGGGGGUGGAAUUCCACGUGUAGCAGUGAAAUGCGUAGAUAUGUGGAGGAACACCGAUGGCGAAGGCAGCCCCCUGGGCUAACACUGACGCUCAUGCACGAAAGCGUGGGGAGCAAACAGG